rnacentral:rRNA from 1 species
UACGUAGGGUGCAAGCGUUGUCCGGAAUUAUUGGGCGUAAAGGGCUCGUAGGCGGUUUGUUGCGUCGGGAGUGAAAACUUACAGCUUAACUGUGAGCGUGCUUCCGAUACGGGCAGACUUGAGGUAUUCAGGGGAGAACGGAAUUCCUGGUGUAGCGGUGAAAUGCGCAGAUAUCAGGAGGAACACCGGUGGCGAAGGCGGCUCACUGGCCCGGUACUGACGCUGAGGUGCGAAAGCGUGGGGAGCGAACAG